GCACUGGUAGUUCAGUGGUAGAAUUCUCACCUCCCAUGCUGGAGACCUGGGUUUGAUUCCCAGCCAGUUUU
rnacentral:tRNA from 1 species